rnacentral:rRNA from 1 species
CAGUCGCCGCGGGAAUACGUAGGGUGCAAGCGUUAAUCGGAAUUACUGGGCGUAAAGCGUGCGCAGGCGGUUUGUUAAGACAGAUGUGAAAUCCCCGGGCUCAACCUGGGAACUGCAUUUGUGACUGGCAAGCUAGAGUGUGGCAGAGGGGGGUGGAAUUCCGCGUGUAGCAGUGAAAUGCGUAGAUAUGCGGAGGAACACCGAUGGCGAAGGCAGCCCCCUGGGCCAACACUGACGCUCAUGCACGAAAGCGUGGGGAGCAAACAGGAUUAGAUACCCCGGUAGUCCCUGUCUCUUAUAC